rnacentral:ribozyme from 11 species
UGUUUUUUUUUUUUUUUUUUUUCCUUUUUUUUCUUGAAGUUU